AGUAAGAUGGCUGAGUCCAGGCGAUUGGUUGUAAACCUUUAUACGAAUAUUCUCUUGCUG
rnacentral:tRNA from 1 species